rnacentral:lncRNA from 1 species
CACACACACAGAGCAACACGCAGACAUGCACACACACAGAGCAACACGCAGACAUGCACACACAAACAGAACAACACGCGGACAUGCACACACACAGAGCAACACGCGGACAUGCACACACACACAGAGCAACACGCAGACAUGCACACACAAACAGAGCAACACACGGACAUGCACACACACAGAGCAACACGCGGACAUGCACACACACACACAGAGCAACACGCGGACAUGCACACACAGAGCAACACGCGGACAUGCACACACAAACACAGAGCAACACGCAGACAUGCACACAUAAACACAGAGCGACACGUGGACAUGCACACACAGUUACAAGGACAGACA